rnacentral:rRNA from 1 species
UAUUGAACGCUGGGCGGCAGGCCUAACACAUGCAAGUCGAGCGGUAGAGAGGUGCUUGCAUCUCUUGAGAGCGACGGACGGGUGAGUAAUGCCUAGGAAUCUGCCUAGUGGUGGGGGAUAACGUUCGGAAACGGACGCUAAUACCGCAUACGUCCUACGGGAGAAAGCGGGGGAUCUUCGGACCUCGCGCCAUUAGAUGAGCCUAGGUCGGAUUAGCUAGUUGGUGAGGUAAUGGCUCACCAAGGCGACGAUCCGUAACUGGUCUGAGAGGAUGAUCAGUCACACUGGAACUGAGACACGGUCCAGACUCCUACGGGAGGCAGCAGUGGGGAAUAUUGGACAAUGGGCGAAAGCCUGAUCCAGCCAUGCCGCGUGUGUGAAGAAGGUCUUCGGAUUGUAAAGCACUUUAAGUUGGGAGGAAGGGUAGUAACCUAAUACGUUGCUACUUUGACGUUACCGACAGAAUAAGCACCGGCUAACUUCGUG